UCCAACAAAAUUCAAAAUUUGAAUAAUGAUAUUAUAAAUCAAUUCGCACCCAACAAAAAAUUGAAAAAAUGCAAUCAUCAACAUCACUAUACAUCAGAAUCACCACAUAACUUAUAUAUGACUAUAUAUAACUACAUGUGAAUAUAUAUGACUAUAUCUAUAUGACAAUAUGUGACUAUAUAUGACUACAUGUGAUUAAAUAUAACUACAUGUAUAUGACUACAUGUGACUAUAUAUGACUACAUGUAUAUGACUACAUGUGACUAUAUAUGACUACAUCUAUAUGACUACAUGUGACUAUAUAUGACUACAUGUAUAUGACUACAUGUGACUAUCUAUAAAAGUAUAGUCAUAUAUAGUGUAGUUUGUAUUUAUAGCUUCAAAUCCCACUUUUCACCACGACAGCAACUCCGAUCUAUCGCAAAAGAACUAUUUUGAAUUGACGAACACCAUGUCCUCUCGACAAAAAAAUAGUGCUAGAAGUUGUUUAAACACCGAGACCUGUAACAAAAAAAUAAUAAUUUAAUUUGACGAACACCAUGUCUCUCGAUAAAAACUUCGUACAUAGAAGUUGUUCAAACACCGAGAACUGUGACAAAAAAUCAACAAUUAUCAUUAACUGCAAUAACACAAUCAAAUUCGAAAUACAUAAAUUAUUAUUAAUAUACGUUCAAAUGUACAAAUCAAAAUCAAUUCCUUUUACAAGUUCAUGUUCACAUAAUAAUCCUCUACAGUAACACUCUGUGCUACAUUCGUCAAAUUUUUUAUUUAUUAAAAAAAUGCAAACUUCCACCGAUUAUCAAUAUAACAUCAUCAAGCUUCUAUCUCUAUCUUUUUGUUUAAAAAAAAAAAAACUGAAACUUCAAUAUUCAUUGAGAAACAAAAAGAGUGCACAUGGGAUAAACAAGGUUGUGAACAGAUAAAACUUUUGGUAAUUCCAUUGACCUAUGCAUAAUGCAUCCCAAUUUGUUUUGAUUUUUAAUUUAUGCAAACACAAAAAAAUUAUUAAGCAAACGAUUAGGAUUUAAUAAUAACUGGACAACAGGGGAAAAAUAAACCGAAUCACCUUAAAGAUGUAGAUCUUGUUUGUCUUCACGUUCUUCUUCGUCCUCUUCUUCUUCUCUCCGCCGAUGGCCGCCUUUCCGGCGUCCUUGGGGAGCUUCUUGCCAGCCU
rnacentral:lncRNA from 1 species